rnacentral:rRNA from 1 species
GACGAACGCUGGCGGCGUGCUUAACACAUGCAAGUCGAACGGAAAGGCCCCUUUGUUGGUACUCGAGUGGUGACCGCGUGCGUAACACGUGCGUAACCUUCCCUUGCCUUCGGGAUUACUUCAGGUAACUGGGACUAAUACCGGUUCGGAAUACUUUCUUCAUGCUCGUGGUUGGAUAGUUUCGGCCGUUUUUGAUGUCCUUGCUGCGUAUCUGCUUGUUGGUGGGGUUGUGGGUUACCAAGGCUUUGUCGGGUAGCCGGCCUGAGUGGGCGACCGGCCACAUUGGGACUGAGAGACGGCCCAGGCACGUAAGGGAGGCAGAAGUGGGGAAGAUUGCACAAUGGGCGGAAGGCGGAUGCAGAAAGGCCGCGGGCGGGAAGACGGCGUUCGGGUUGUAAAACGCAUGCAGCAGGGGCGAAGCUUGUGGUGACGGUACCUGCAGAAGAAGCACCGGCUAACUACGUG